rnacentral:rRNA from 1 species
CAGUCGCCGCGGUAAUACGUAGGGUGCGAGCGUUAAUCGGAAUUACUGGGCGUAAAGCGUGCGCAGGCGGUUUUGUAAGACAGGCGUGAAAUCCCCGGGCUCAACCUGGGAAUGGCGCUUGUGACUGCAAAGCUAGAGUGCGGCAGAGGGGGAUGGAAUUCCGCGUGUAGCAGUGAAAUGCGUAGAUAUGCGGAGGAGCACCGAUGGCGAAGGCAAUCCCCUGGGCCUGCACUGACGCUCAUGCACGAAAGCGUGGGGAGCAAACAGGAUUAGAUACCCCUGUAGUCCCUGUCUCUUAUAC